CAAUUCUUGGCUAAAUCACUCAAGUCAGAAUUUAAUUAAUCCAUCCUUACCAGAAUUUCGGAAUUUAGAUGACAGUAGUGAUCAUGCAACUUUUUUGUUUGGUUUUGGAAUACCUUCUGCAAAUUUAAAAUACAGUUGUUAUAAA